CUAGACUUGACAUCUCCUGCAUUACACUUAAUCGGGGAAGUUCCUUCGGGGACAGGAAGACAGGUGGUGCAUGGUUGUCGUCAGCUCGUGUCGUGAGAUGUUGGGUUAAGUCCCGCAACGAGCGCAACCCUUAUUGUUAGUUGCUACCAUUUAGUUGAGCACUCUAGCGAGACUGCCCGGGUUAACCGGGAGGAAGGUGGGGAUGACGUCAAAUCAUCAUGCCCCUUAUGUCUAGGGCUACACACGUGCUACAAUGGCAAGUACAAAGAGAGGCAAGACCGCGAGGUGGAGCAAAACUCAAAAACUUGUCUCAGUUCGGAUUGUAGGCUGAAACUCGCCUACAUGAGGCUGGAGUUGCUAGUAAUCGCGAAUCAGCAUGUCGCGGUGAAUA
rnacentral:rRNA from 1 species